rnacentral:lncRNA from 1 species
AGUAUAUUAAAAAUAAUGCUGAAGACGGAAGCUUUGGAAAAUGGAUAGAAGUUAGGUCAAGCUUCAAGUCCCAUCUUUAUUCUAUUCCUGACUAGGACAAAUCACCUCCGCUCUCCUUUGUCGCUUACCAAGCAUCAAAUGAAGACAGCAGAGUUCGCCCAGACAUGCACAAUAAUGUAUAAAACAAGAUGCCAAGUACAGACGGCUUACACCUGAAAUCCCAGCAUUCAGGAGCCUGAGUUCAAGGCCAGCUAUAUUCAGGUAACAAGAUCUUAUCUCCAACAAACAAACAAACAAACUAAAAAGCCAAGGAUAAACUUA